GGUGUGGGAUGAGCCCGCGGCCUAUCAGCUUGUUGGUGGGGUGACGGCCUACCAAGGCGACGACGGGUAGCCGGCCUGAGAGGGUGUCCGGCCACACUGGGACUGAGAUACGGCCCAGACUCCUACGGGAGGCAGCAGUGGGGAAUAUUGCACAAUGGGCGCAAGCCUGAUGCAGCGACGCCGCGUGGGGGAUGACGGCCUUCGGGUUGUAAACCUCUUUCACCAUCGACGAAGGUCCGGGUUCUCUCGGAUUGACGGUAGGUGGAGAAGAAGCACCGGCCAACUACGUGCCAGCAGCCGCGGUAAUACGUAGGGUGCGAGCGUUGUCCGGAAUUACUGGGCGUAAAGAGCUCGUAGGUGGUUUGUCGCGUUGUUCGUGAAAUCUCACGGCUUAACUGUGAGCGUGCGGGCGAUACGGGCAGACUAGAGUACUGCAGGGGAGACUGGAAUUCCUGGUGUAGCGGUGGAAUGCGCAGAUAUCAGGAGGAACACCGGUGGCGAAGGCGGGUCUCUGGGCAGUAACUGACGCUGAGGAGCGAAAGCGUGGGGAGCGAACAGGAUUAGAUACCCUGGUAGUCCACGCCGUAAACGGUGGGUACUAGGUGUGGGUUUCCUUCCUUGGGAUCCGUGCCGUAGCUAACGCAUUAAGUACCCCGCCUGGGGAGUACGGCCGCAAGGCUAAAACUCGAAGGAAUUGACGGGGGCCCGCACAAGCGGCGGAGCAUGUGGAUUAAUUCGAUGCAACGCGAAGAACCUUACCUGGGUUUGACAUGCACAGGACGCGUCUAGAGAUAGGCGUUCCCUUGUGGCCUGUGUGCAGGUGGUGCAUGGCUGUCGUCAGCUCGUGUCGUGAGAUGUUGGGUUAAGUCCCGCAACGAGCGCAACCCUUGUCUCAUGUUGCCAGCACGUAAUGGUGGGGACUCGUGAGAGACUGCCGGGGUCAACUCGGAGGAAGGUGGGGAUGACGUCAAGUCAUCAUGCCCCUUAUGUCCAGGGCUUCACACAUGCUACAAUGGCCGGUACAAAGGGCUGCGAUGCCGCGAGGUUAAGCGAAUCCUUAAAAGCCGGUCUCAGUUCGGACAAGAGUUUGAUCCCGGGUCA
rnacentral:rRNA from 1 species